AGAGUUUGAUCCUGGCUCAGGAUUAACGCUGGCGGCGUGCCUAAUGCAUGCAAGUCGAACGUGGUCCCUUCGGGGGCAAACGUGGCGGACGGGUGAGGAACACGUGGGGAACCUGCCCAUUGGUGGGGGGUAGCCCGCGGAAACGCGGGGUAAUUCCGCAUACGCUCGCCUGGGGGUAGCCCGGGUGAGGAAAGGGUCUUUCGGGACUCGCCGAUGGAGGGGCCUGCGUCCGAUUAGCUAGUUGGUGGGGUAAUGGCCUACCAAGGCGGUGAUCGGUAGCUGGUCUGAGAGGACGGCCAGCCACAGGGGGACUGAGACACGGCCCCCACUCCUACGGGAGGCAGCAGCAAGGAGUUUUCCGCAAUGGGCGCAAGCCUGACGGAGCAACGCCGCGUGGGGGAUGACACCUUUCGGGGCGUAAACCCCUUUUCUUGGGGACGAAGCAGUGACGGUACCCGAGGAAGAAGGCCCGGCUAACUACGUGCCAGCAGCCGCGGUA
rnacentral:rRNA from 1 species